CAGGACGAACGCUGGCGGCGUGCCUAAUACAUGCAAGUCGAACGGCUUUUCUAUGGAAGCUUGCUUCCACUGAGAAGAUAGUGGCGAACGGGUGAGUAACACGUGGGGUAACCUGCCCAUAAGAGGGGGAUAACAUCCGGAAACGGGUGCUAAUACCGCAUAGUUUUCUUGAUCGCAUGAUCGGGAAAGGAAAGACGGCCUUUGUGCUGUCGCUUAUGGAUGGACCCGCGGCGUAUUAGUUAGUUGGUGAGGUAACGGCUCACCAAGACGAUGAUACGUAGCCGACCUGAGAGGGUGAUCGGCCACAUUGGGACUGAGACACGGCCCAAACUCCUACGGGAGGCAGCAGUAGGGAAUCUUCCGCAAUGGACGAAAGUCUGACGGAGCAACGCCGCGUGAGUGAAGAAGGUUUUUCCGGAUCGUAAAACUCUGUUGUCAGAGAAGAACAAGUUGGAGAGUAACUGCUCCAGCCUUGACGGUAUCUGACCAGAAAGCCACGGCUAACUACGUGCCAGCAGCAGC
rnacentral:rRNA from 1 species